UUCCGGUUGAUCCUGCCGGAGGUUACUGCUACCGAGGUUCGACUAAGCCAUGCGAGUCGAAUGUAGCAAUACAUGGCGUACUGCUCAGUAACACGUGGACAACCUACCCUCCGGACGGGUAUAAACCCGGGAAACUGGGUAUAAUCCCCGAUAGAUCUCGGUCGCCGGAAUGCCCCGAGAUCGAAAGCUCCGGCGCCAGAGGAUGGGUCUGCGGCCUAUCAGGUAGUAGUGGGUGUAGCGUACCUACUAGCCUACGACGGGUACGGGUUGUGAGAGCAAGAGCCCGGAGAUGGAUUCUGAGACACGAAUCCAGGCCCUACGGGGUGCAGCAGGCGCGAAAACUUUACAAUGCCGGCAACGGCGAUAAGGGGACCUCGAGUGCCAGGUUACAAAUCUGGCUGUCGUGAUGCCUAAAAAGCAUUGCAUAGCAAGGGCCGGGCAAGACCGGUGCCAGCCGCCGCGGUAACACCGGCGGCUCGAGUGGUAACCGUUAUUAUUGGGUCUAAAGGGUCUGUAGCCGGCCGGAUAAGUCUCUUGAGAAAUCCAGCAGCUCAACUGUUGGGCUUUCAGGAGAUACUGUUCGGCUCGAGGCCGGGAGAGGUGAGAGGUACUUCAGGGGUAGGGGUGAAAUCUUGUAAUCCUUGAAGGACCACCAGUGUCGAAGGCGUCUCACCAGAACGGACCUGACGGCAAGGGACGAAAGCUAGGGGCACGAACCGGAUUAGAUACCCGGGUAGUCCUAGCCGUAAACGAUACUCGCUAGGUGUCGGCCACGGUGCGACCGUUGUCGGUGCCGUAGGGAAGCCGUGAAGCGAGCCACCUGGGAAGUACGGCCGCAAGGCUGAAACUUAAAGGAAUUGGCGGGGGAGCACCACAACGGGUGGAGCUUGCGGUUUAAUUGGAUUCAACGCCGGG
rnacentral:rRNA from 1 species